CUAGAUUCGCUUAUGCAUGAAAUAUGCCUAAACAUUUUGUAUUUUAUAAAACUUCAAAUUUUCAAGAAAUGAAACAAUUUUCUGGAAGAACACCUUUAGCUUGUUGAUAUAAAUGAAAAACAGUAAAGAUAAUACGUCUGUUCCGUGCAAUAAAAUACGCUUGAAGUAAGGGCUAAAACCCGUUUUCCGGUAUUUUGUAUCAGUUUUCGACGAUAAAUUGAAAAAUUUGAAUAGGGCACAGGUCUCGACCAAAAAACAAAAUACGUCAUUGUCAUUGUGAGUAUUUAUAAUUUACAAAAACGUAUCAAUAAUUUUGGUCGAGGCCUGUGCCCUUUACGAAAAUUUAUAUUUUCCUUCCCUUGGUGUCUGUGCAAAAGCAAAUCGAAUGCAUAGAAGAUCAAAGAUUUAAGCUGUAUUUUUAUAAAUUUUUACUUGUUUUUGCGGUCAAGCAUUGAGAUCGAAAAGCAAUUAUCAUUAGUCAAAUAAAAUAUGUCUUCUUUUCUGUCAUGUUUUGUUAACUUAUUGAAUGAAAAGUGAAAAUCCAGGCGAUGAUGACAACGACGACGACACAACAACAACAAAGCCAUUGUUUACACUUUACCUAGUAAAUCUAUACUACUGUAACGCUGACAGGGUUUAAAACAGUCAAACGUUUGUUUGUUUAUUUUGUGAGCAUUUAUUCUCGGAUCUAGGAAUGUAUUCCAGUCCAGAUAUGACUUUGUGAUAACCGUGACAGGGAGUUUCCAAUUGUGGCGAUGGCGUAGUGGUCUAAGUGCCCGGCGUAUGAUCGUUUUAUAUGACUGAUCAGUUCCGUCUGGUGGUUCGACCCCUGAACGAGGAUGCCUGGAUCGGGUCCAAAGUUUUAUGCCUGUGCGGUGUGCAAGAAAAGAACUAAACCAAAAGAAAGAAGACACAUAAGCAAACCUAUAAGAAAAUAUCUUCAAACACGGUUAUUUGUUGAUGUUAAGACAAUGAAAUAAUUUGUAACAAAUGUAGACAUAAAUACUAUGCAUUAGAAUCAUCAUCUUUUACAAGAAAAAACAACAACCAGUCAGAUCCAGAUUAUGUUCCACCUGUUUCAACUUCUCAAUCAAAGGGAACAAAAACACCGACUAGUCCGCCAUCGGUAUCAUUAAAUAUAAAAAAUACCAGUAAAACACAUUCAAGAUGAUUAGUCUGCAAAAGACCAGGGCCAAAAUUAGUUGUUCUGUCUUCAGAGGCCAGAUUCAAUGUGUUUAUAGAACAUAACCUACUCAUACCUGCUGGUUCUAUGUGCUGUCCAGUACACAUACAUGAAGGCCUGCUUUGUUCAGAUUUCUUAGAGAAUGUGCCGAUAAUAGAAACAGCAUUUCUAAACAGGACAUCUGUCCUAAAACUUAUAAAACAUUUAAGAGAAAUAUGCUGCUACAAACAAAACAAAUUGAAUUUUGAUGUCUUAAACGACGUAGAAUAUGAAAACUUAACAGGGCUUUCACGUUCUCAGUUUGAUGAUGUUUUUCGUCAUGUUGCCGACAAAAUUCUUACGAAAUCGGGCUUGUCAAAUAAGCUUUUGUCUACUCUAUUUGGAAUAAGCAAGUCAAGUGUACGGAGAGCGAUUGUUGCCACAAAACAUGCGAUGAUGAGAGGAUUUGUGCCGUUAUAUCUUGGUUUUGAAAGCAUAACAAGGGAAGAUAUUAUAAACCAUCACACUAGACCGUUAGCCAAGUCUCUUUUUGAUGCAAAUGAUGGGAAAGUUAUUUUAGUUCUUGGUGGAACUUAUGUUUAUAUUCAGAAAAGUAAUAAUUUUAGCUUUCAAAGACGUUCAUAUUCAAUGCACAAAGCUCGUCCAUUAGUGAAGCCCAUGGUUAUUGUCACAACAACCGGAUACUUUGUUACAGUGAUGGGCCCUUAUUUUGCUGAUUCAAAGAACAAUGAUGCUUCUAUCCUGAAUCAUAUGUUGAAAACAAGUACUGAAGAGAUAAGGGACUUUAUUCAGGAGUUCAGGAGGAUGAUAUUUUCGUUGUCGAGAGAGGUUUCCGAUAUACAUUGAAUUAUUUCUUAUUUAAUAUAACAUUAUUGUAAAAGUUGGAAAUCAUAUUGUUUAAAUCACAAAACUUCUUUUAAAGUUCAAUGAAAAUUAUUGGCAUUCAGCUUAUAUUAAGUACGCUUUUUUAUUUUCCUCACCGUUACACACUAUAAUAGUCCUCGUUCAGACUAUAUUUUUUUUCAGACCGCUGACGUCAUCGUAAAUAGGUAAUAGAAAGAGCACCGAAACACGAGGCUAUCUGAUUUGUACGAGGGGGCGUAGCCCCCGAGUAUAAAAACGAUUGCCGAGUGUUUUGGUGUUCUUUCUCUUUUGUAUCAUAGUCAAACAUAAAAACACGUUCCCUGUUGUCACAAUUUUAAACCCCGGUAAAAAGUAACCAAUGAUCGAGCAUCUGAAUAUGAUAUUUCUGCCGCUUUCCCUUUCUCUGCCGUCACAAUAUGUAAACCCCAGCAAAAAUGAGCCAAUCAACGGGCAUGAUCUGGAGUGCGGGUAACUGAUACCUGCACUCCAGUUACCGCACUGUGCAUGUAUAUGUAUACGAUUUAACUCUGACACUUUUUCAACAGAAAGGUCCCCAAACUAUGAUACAAUAUACUUUUAAAGGCCCCUUUAUGUACCCGAAAUGCAAUACUUUCAUUUUUAUUUCUCAAAAUAUUUUUUAGUUUCAAACAAGUUACUCAUUGGUCUUCUUCAUUUGUUACUUUCAGGCAAUAAGUACAUAUAUAAUAACUUAGUAAUUUGUAUUGAAGUCAAAAUAUUACUUGUUUUCAUUACUUUUUUUCAUUGCUACAUUAAUGACAUAGUAGUAUAUUAACCGGUCUUUUGUUUAGGUAACAAGCAUGUUACAUGCUCUAAACCAUUAUUUAAAAGGUAUAAAAACAUCUUUGAUCUUUUAAAAAAAGGUAAAUAUUAUUCAUUUGUGAGUCAUACUGUGCCUUUAACAGGCCGCUGACAAAACAUAUUCAUGUUAGGCAUGAUAUUGAUAGAAUAGUACCAUAGAUACCAUAGACAGGUGAAAUACUUCAUAUCUUGACAAUCGCUUUACAUAAUAUUGACUUGUUAGUGUUUCAUUUCCACAUUAGUCCUCGUUUUUGAAACAUAAGGCUAGUCAUUAGUUAUUAUGAAAUUAAUCGAGGUUGUUGAUGUAUUUGAGAAGAGACAAGUUUAGAUUUUUAAAUGUUGUGAUGAAUGAGAUUGUAAUAAAAUAUUUGUUGCAUCCUAAACAUGCUGUAAUAUUUUAUUUGAUACUUUUCUAGACAUUUGAAUAUUAAUAGUUAUAAGUGGCAAAAUGCAAUGAUUUUGUUACUGCGUUAUUUAGAAUGUCUUGAAUGUUAUAAAAUAUAUUUAACGUUUUACUCUAACUUUUCGGCCUUUUCCGUCAUUCUUCGGAUAAGACUACGUGUAUUUAUGAAACAUUGCCGACAUGUUCCGAUUGAUGUAAUAUCUGUUUCUGCAUCUUAAGUGAUUCUAUGUUUGCUUAAAAAGAAAUAUAAGCUAAUUAUGUAGUUAUUAUGUUUAAGUUGUACUAACUAUAUAUUUAAAAACAACAUCAAAGUUUAUUGCCGUAAACUAUAUGCAGAAAAUUUAUACAUGUAUGUGCAUGCAAAUUCUAUUGCAUAUUUUUGAAAAUCUUUGUGGUCGUUAAAUGUAAAUAGAUUUUCUUCAGAAUAAAAGAUGGACACUAUCCAAUAGUUUCAUGCAGCAGUAAUUUGAAUGUCACACCUGUUAUAAAGUAUGCUAGAUUGUUUAUUUUGUGUGAUGGGCAUUUUGAGGGAUCACCUUAUUAUUUUUAUUUCGUUUUGUUUAUAAUUCUGUAUUGUUAGAUGAUGAAUUCAUGUCAGUUUACGUAGCUGUUACACUAAAGUAAAUGAUUCAGUGUGUAACAUAACUUUAUCACAUAUCACAUGCCGCUUUUGCUGUUACAGUAAAAUAGUAUUGCACGGCAGGGCAUAUAUUUUGACGUGUCGUCCUUUGCGUUAUAGGAUCAUAGCGUAAAGACGCAUGAAAUGUUAGCGUUACACUAUAAGUGUGUCAAUGAAAAAAUAAUACUAUUUUUGACUGUAAACAAUUUUCAUCUUUGACAUGUGAUAAACAGUUUAUUAUGUAAAUAAAUAAUUCAUUUAACACCUCCCGUCAUUGAAAUAGAUUACGUAAACUGAACAAGUUUGUUUUCAUUUAUGUUUCAUUCAUUUUAAAGUGAAUAUUGUGUUUUUAUAAUAUUUAAGUAAAUGAAAGAAACAAUUUUUUUUCUCUCCGUAACUGAAAAGAGAUUUAUGAGUCAUAUACCAGCGUUUCAUAUUACAAAUAUCAAUAUGACGUUACGGCGUCGUUGAUUGAUGUUGCAAUUUUGACGUCAAAAUACGUUACAAUGGGGUCAAGUAUAGAGCCUAAAAAAUUGAAAAAUUAGAAAAAAUGAUACAAAAAUCAACAAAAACCUACUUGGGACAUAUUUUUAUGUCAUAUGCUCAAGUUUUAUCAAAAUUAAAAUUUGGGCCGAUUUUCACUAUAUUUGAACACACUC